UGAUAUACCACUCCAGGCUGCGACACCUGCCAUCCCAUUGAUCUCCAGGGUUGAUUCCGCUGAUGGGUGUCUCCUCCCUCCCUCACCACUCUAUGUGCGUUCCUCCCAAAGCUGUGCGCUCAGUGGAAGAGGACAAUGUCCCAGGUAUAGAAGGAUAAGCCAGUCUGAUAUCAUAUGCCAUCCAGUUUUAUUAUUGUUGUGAUGAGACAGAUAAGGCCAACUUUGAGCAAGAGUACCACAAAGACAGUCCUGGGGAACUUUCUGUGAGAUACAGUUCUCUG
rnacentral:snRNA from 1 species